CGUGUAGGUGGCUUGGUAAGUUGGAUGUGAAAGCCCGGGGCCCAACCUCGGAAUUGCAUUCAAAACUCCCAAGCUAGAGUCCCGGAGAGGAUGGCGGAAUUCCCGGUGUAGAGGUGAAAUUCGUAGAUAUCGGGAGGAACACCAGUGGCGAAGGCGGCCAUCUGGACGGUGACUGACACUGAGACGCGAAAGCGUGGGGAGCAAACAGGAUUAGAUACCCUGGUAGUCC
rnacentral:rRNA from 1 species